rnacentral:rRNA from 1 species
GAUGAACGCUGGCGGCGUGCUUAAUACAUGCAAGUCGAGCGGACAGGCGCUGCGCUUGUUGCUUUCUCGUUAGCGGCACACGUGUGUGUAACACGUAGGUACCCUCCCUAUCUUUCUGGUAUAACUUCGGAAAUCCGGCUCUAAUCCCGUAUAAUAUUUCGAUCCGCAUGGUUCGAUGGAGAAAUUUGGCUGUGCUGGCGGUUGGGGAUGGACUUGCGCCGUUUCAGCUUGUUGGUGGGGUAGUGGCUUACCAAGGCUUUGACGGGUAGCCGGCCUGAGAGGGUGACCGGCCACAUUGGGACUGAGAUACGGCCCAGACUCCUACGGGAGGCAGCAGUGGGGAAUAUUGCACAAUGGGCGGAAGCCUGAUGCAGCAACGCCGCGUGCGGGAUGACGGCCUUCGGGUUGUAAACCGCUUUCGCCUGUGACGAAGCGUGAGUGACGGUAAUGGGUAAAGAAGCACCGGCUAACUACGUG